rnacentral:lncRNA from 1 species
GGGGGUACUGGGAGCCGGUCGGGGAGGCCUGGGCCAGGUACUGGGAGGGGCUUGGGGGAGCACUGGGGGAAAUGGGAGGGAACUGGUGGUACUGGGAGCUCCGCUGGCACCAGGGCUCUGUCCCCAUGGCCCCGACUGUGCCGUGCUGCGGUGUCCCUGGUGUCACUGGCCUCCUUGGUAACAUCAGUGUUGCUUGUGUCCCCGGUGUCCCCCAUUGUCAGUUGAGUCCCCGGUGUCCCUGUUGUGAGUUGUGUCCCCAUUGUCACGGGCGUCCCUGUUGUUCCCAUUGUCCCCGUCGUCAGUUGUGUCCCCAGUGUCACGGGUGUCCCUGUCGUCCCCAGCGUCCCUGUUGUGCCUGGUGUCGGUUGUGUCCCCAGAGUCACAGGUGUCCCUGUUCCCAUUGUCCCUGGUGUCAGUGGUGUCCCCAUUGUCACGGGUGUCCCUGGUGUCCCCAGCGUCCCUGUUGUGCCUGGUGUCGGUUGUGUCCCCAGUGUCAC